AACAAACGCUGGCGGCGUGCCUAAUACAUGUAAGUCGAACGAGGAAAGCUUUCGGGUGAGUACUAGUGGCGCACGGGUGAGUAACACGUGGGUAAUCUGCCAUAGAGUGGGGGAUAACCAGUCGAAAGAUUGGCUAAUACCGCAUAAGACCACAAGAUCUGCGGAUCAAGGGGUCAAAGGUUUUUUCGCUCUAUGAUGAGCCCGCGCGGGAUUAGCUAGUUGGUGAGGUAACGGCUCACCAAGGCUACGAUCUCUAGCUGGUCUGAGAGGAUGAUCAGCCACACUGGAACUGAGACACGGUCCAGACUCCUACGGGAGGCAGCAGUAGGGAAUAUUGCACGAUGGAGGAAACUCUGAUGCAGCGACGCCGCGUGAGUGAUGAAGGCCUUCGGGUCGUAAAGCUCUGUCGCAUGGGAAUAAGACAGUGAAUGUACCAUGCAAGAAAGGAUCGGCUAACUUCGUGCCAGCAGCCGCGGUAAU
rnacentral:rRNA from 1 species